rnacentral:rRNA from 1 species
AUUGAACGCUGGCGGCAUGCUUUACACAUGCAAGUCGAACGGUAACAGGCCGCAAGGUGCUGACGAGUGGCGAACGGGUGAGUAAUGCAUCGGAACGUGCCCAGUCGUGGGGGAUAACGCAGCGAAAGCUGCGCUAAUACCGCAUACGAUCUAUGGAUGAAAGCGGGGGACCGUAAGGCCUCGCGCGAUUGGAGCGGCCGAUGUCAGAUUAGGUAGUUGGUGGGGUAAAGGCUCACCAAGCCAACGAUCUGUAGCUGGUCUGAGAGGACGACCAGCCACACUGGGACUGAGACACGGCCCAGACUCCUACGGGAGGCAGCAGUGGGGAAUUUUGGACAAUGGGCGCAAGCCUGAUCCAGCAAUGCCGCGUGCAGGAAGAAGGCCUUCGGGUUGUAAACUGCUUUUGUACGGAACGAAACGGCUCUGGUUAAUACCUGUGGCUAAUGACGGUACCGUAAGAAUAAGCACCGGCUAACUACGUGCCAGCAGCCGCCGCAGUAA